rnacentral:precursor_RNA from 9 species
GAAUUUGAACUACGACAGCCAUUUUGUAAAGUUACCCUGUUAAUCGAAGAAGUCUUAUAUUUUAUCUCACUUCUCGUUUCACAGGGUAUAUUUACCGCGUGGUUAUGACGUCACCUACAGUU